UUGCUCCUACGGGGCGCAGCAGUAGGGAAUUUUCGUCAAUGGGCGCAAGCCUGAACGAGCAAUGCCGCGUGAACGAGGAAGGUCUUCGGAUCGUAAAGUUCUGUUGAAGGGGAAAAAGAGCGGAGAGAGGAAAUGAACUCCGAUUGAUAUUACCCUUCGAGGAAGUCACGGCUAACUACGUGCCAGCAGCCGCGGUAAUACGUAGGUGGCAAGCGUUUUCCGGAUUUAUUGGGCGUAAAGGGAACGCAGGCGGGCUUUUAAGUCUGAU
rnacentral:rRNA from 1 species